rnacentral:lncRNA from 1 species
UAUGUGAAGCACGUGAAGCAGUGAAUUCAAUUUGAUAAUUUGAUUUGAUUGAGGUUGCUUCCUACUCCAUUGUUAUACCUUCAUCAGGAUGUUACUAUUUUAAUGAAAUUGUUUCUUUUUUAUUUCUUAUGUGCAUUCAAUUAAUGCCUAUGAUGUGUAAAAGCAUUAACUGUAUUUGUUGCUAAUUGUAUAUGUCUAUGUAGGAGGCAUUUGAGAUGGAAUGCAUGCUUGGGACUAAAUUGAGUUAGUUAGGUGGUGUGGGUGUUUAAAACAUGGCUGUAAGUGUCGCCUUAAGGCUGUUCACUCGCUCGAUAUGGGGAUAAAAUUACUGUGGGUGAGAAAGGCGAAACACUGUUCAAAAUGAACUGGUGCUAUGAUCGCAAUAAGGGAGCCGCGAUCACAACAUUAGUGAUUUCUGCAUUGUAACAAAGGAAGUUGCGAUCACAACACAUGGCUCACGAUCGCAGCAAGGCAAGUCUGCGAGGCAGUAAGCCCAUGCUCAAAAAUGGCGAUCGUGGGCCCAGUUGCUGCAACCACCACUCUAUGUGGCUGUUGAGGUAUUGAGCUCAGCUUCAAAAAAUUACGAAUGUGCGCCAAGGACCGGGAUCACGGUUUUCUUCCUGUGCUCCCAAAUCUUCAGUGCUGCGUUCCCUGCACAAGGCUUGCGAUCGCAGCAAAGCUAUUCAGAUGUGCAACUAUAACAGUUUAUCACAUUUCUCAACUCCCACACCUCAAACUCGGUCCAAGAAGAUGAAAUCACUCCUCACUUCUUCUCGAUUUCAAGGUAAGUCGUAUUUAACUUGAUUUAAGCUAUUACUACUAUAAUAACA